rnacentral:rRNA from 1 species
AUACGGAGGGUGCAAGCGUUACUCGGAAUCACUGGGCGUAAAGCGCGCGCAGGCGGCUAUUUAAGUUGGAUGUGAAAGCCUACGGCUCAACCGUAGAACUGCAUCCAAAACUAUUUAGCUAGAGUGUGGGAGAGGAAGAUGGAAUUAGUUGUGUAGGGGUAAAAUCCGUAGAGAUAACUAGGAAUACCAAAAGCGAAGGCAAUCUUCUGGAACACUACUGACGCUGAGGCGCGAAAGCGUGGGGAGCAAACGGGAUUAGAUACCCGUGUAGUCC